rnacentral:rRNA from 1 species
UACGUAGGUCCCGAGCGUUGUCCGGAUUUAUUGGGCGUAAAGCGAGCGCAGGUGGUUUAUUAAGUCUGGUGUAAAAGGCAGUGGCUCAACCAUUGUAUGCAUUGGAAACUGGUAGACUUGAGUGCAGGAGAGGAGAGUGGAAUUCCAUGUGUAGCGGUGGAAUGCGUAGAUAUAUGGAAGAACACCAGUGGCGAAGGCGGCUCUCUGGUCUGCAACUGACGCUGAGGCUCGAAAGCAUGGGUAGCGAACAGG